UACCAGCACCCCGAGUGGUCGGGACGAUUAUUGGGCCUAAAGCAUCCGUAGCCGGUUUUACAAGUCCUCCGUUAAAUCCAGCUGCUUAACAGAUGGGCUGCGGAGGAUACUAUAAGACUAGGAGGCAGGAGAGGCAAGCGGUACUCAGUGGGUAGGGGUAAAAACCGUUGAUCCAUUGAAGACCACCAGUGGCGAAGGCGGCUUGCCAGAAUGCGCUCGACGGUGAGGGAUGAAAGCUGGGGGAGCAAACCGG
rnacentral:rRNA from 1 species